rnacentral:lncRNA from 1 species
AUCAGUCACUUGGACUACAUUUAAUUUUACCAAGGGGAAAUAAAAAUGUUUAAAACAUUGAGUAAUGUAUUCAGAUUGUUUGCGCUGGUAUCAACGGCCACAUUGAAUUCUAGUGAUCAGCAUGUAGAGGUUCGGUUACUUGAUAAUCAAAAUGCUCCUUUAUUAGCUACCCUGGACAUGUCGAAUGCAAACGAACGUGUGAAGCAGUUUGUAAGUGACACAAUUGAAGAAAAAAUGAAAACUAUAAAGGAGUCUGUGUAAUCCAAGUUAUUUGUUGAUGAUGCAAUUGAAGCAAAAAUGAAAAACAUAGAAGAAACUGUGAAAUCUAAGCAUUUU